rnacentral:rRNA from 1 species
UCCUGGCUCAGGAUGAACGCCGGCGGCGUGCCUAACACAUUCAAGUCGAACGAACUGUAGAAAUACAGUGAGUGGCGGACGGGUGAGUAACGCGUAAGCAAUCUGCCUUUGUGUGUGGAAUAACAACCGGAAACAGUUGCUAAUACCGCAUAACGCAGAGAGAUCGCAUGGUCUUUCUGCCAAAGAUUUAUCGCACAAAGAUGGGCUUGCGUCCGAUUAGAUAGUUGGCGGGGUAACGGCCCGACCAAGUCAACGAUCGGUAGCCGGACUGAGAGGUUGAACGGCCACAUUGGAACUGAGAUACGGUCCAGACUCCUACGGGAGGCAGCAGUGGGGAAUAUUGGGCAAUGGACGAAAGUCUGAACCCCAGCGACGCCGCGUGAGGGAAGAAGGUCUUCGGAUUGUAAACCUUAGUCAACAGGGACGAAGCAAGUGACGGUACCUGUGGAGGAAGCCACGGCUAACUACGUGCCAGCCGCAGC